AUUGAACGCUGGCGGCAGGCCUAACACAUGCAAGUCGAGCGGAGCGGCGGACGGGUGAGUACUGCCUAGGAAUCUGCCUGGUAGUGGGGGAUAACGUCCGGAAACGGGAGCUAAUACCGCAUACUAUCAGAUGAGCCUAGGUCGGUUUAGCUAGUGGGUGGGGUAAAGGCAUACCAAGGCGAAGAUCCGGAACUGGUCUGAGAGGAGGAUCCGUCACACUGGAACGGCGCCACGGUCCAGACUCCGACGGGAGGCAGCAGUGGGGAAUCUUGGUCAAUGGGCGAAAGCCGUAUCCAGCCAUGCCGCGUGUGUGAAGAAGGUCUUCUGAUUGUAAAGCACUUUAAGUUGGGAGGCGUUACCAACAGAAUAAGCACCGGCUAACUUCGUGCCAGCAGCCGCGGUAAUAG
rnacentral:rRNA from 1 species